UACGUAGGGGGCAAGCGUUGUCCGGAAUCAUUGGGCGUAAAGAGCUUGUAGGUGGUUUGUCGCGUCUGCUGUGAAAAUCCGAGGCUCAACCUCGGACUUGCAGUGGGUACGGGCAGACUAGAGUGUGGUAGGGGAGACUGGAAUUCCUGGUGUAGCGGUGGAAUGCGCAGAUAUCAGGAGGAACACCGAUGGCGAAGGCAGGUCUCUGGGCCAUUACUGACACUGAGAAGCGAAAGCAUGGGGAGCGAACAGG
rnacentral:rRNA from 1 species